CUGCCUGGGCCCGUCCAGCCUCACCAGAUGCAGGUCAAUGGAUUCCCCCAAGAUUUGCUCACUACUGAAAGCAUGUUUCUGUCCAACCAAGAAGGAAAUGAAUUGAAAUGAUUUCAAUUAUCACAAGAAAGGAGUGGAGUCCUCUUGCCUUACACUUCAGCAUCUGCUGGUUCAACUCACCCAACCUUUCCCCACCAAGUUCAGGGCCGUAGACAUCUAAGGGGGGCUUGGAACGACUCCUGAGCCAUUGUCGGGCCACAUGGGUGCACACAACCACCCCGGAAGAGCGUUCUGUAGGAGGAGCCACUGGAUUAACUCAGGAAGGACAGAAGAAUAUGAAGAAAGGGUGGCGUUAGUCAAACAGUCCACUCACAGGAGAAGAGAAACAGGAACCUCCUUGAGAUCACUGCCAAUAUUGACGAACUGGACACAGCUUGGUGCUUCGCCUGGAGUAACCUCAUAAAGCUUCACACAGACAGGAGGAAAGUCCUACUAUCAGCCUCAUUGUACAGACCACAAAAUUAGGCCUCUGUGACCUUCAAGGAGGUGCCCAGUGACACACAACUAGUGAACAGCAGGAGGGAACCCAAAGUGAGGGAUUUCAGGGCCCUUAUUCUCAUAGAAAUUAAAAAUUAUCAGCCUGGGCUUUGCAGUCUAUUAUCUAUAUAAGAAGAGUCCAUCGUACAUUUGACGGAGCAGGGAAAUUAACGUGGGCCCCUAAAUCACAUCACCACAUUAUCUUUCUCUGCAGAGUCUUCAAAAUCUCUUUUAGAAACCACAGAGCAUGAAAAAUUUCUAGGAAGAGCAUUUUAUUUUCCCCAUCAUAGGACCUGGCAAAUUCUAAUGAUAUUUUACUGGGAAUUAGAUUUGUUAUUUUCCAGAAAGCCAUUACGGCAAUAAUCCAUCCCGGCAUUUUUCACCACUUAAUUCCUACAGGCUCCUGGGCAGGAGUCAUGGCCAGGGCAGAACACCAUGCGAGGAUCUCCUGGACUCCUUCUGGUUGGAGAAGGAAGCCUCCUUUUUUACUGCUGCGAUGGGAAGAAAUGAAUAAACGAGCUAGAAACCAUGGAGCAUCAACUCAGGACUUCCAGAUGACUUAGCCAUUCCUCAGACCUGACUCUGCUUUUCCUCUUGCUGGCAGGGUCUUGCUUCCAUUCCCCAGUGCAGACUGGAAGUGAUAAAGAGGGGAGAUCUAUGCCCGUCUCUUCUCAGUUUAAUUUCUGAGGUCACCAUGCAGAGACUGUGUUGCUUUAUGAGUCAUGGCACAUCAUUUGGAAUGGAGGGAUCAGAAGUGGGUCCACCUUGUUCACAGUGAACAGCCCCAUGAAAGGAGCCAGGUUUUUUAAACUUUGGAACUAUGGGGAUGACACUGUUACCUUAUUUACAAAGAAGCCACCAUCGAAACUAGUGAUACACCACACAAUCGGAGGCCGGGAGGACCAUCCAAAAGCUGUGUCACAUGUCAUGUGUCACACAUGAAGUGCUCAGAGUGCAAUGGAACGUGAAAAGCCACUGGUGACUCCACCACACCUGAUGCAACUGGCUACUGCCUGGGGCUGCUGGAAGGAGAGGCACAUAGUGAUCCAAAUGAGGCGCCAUUAGGACACAGCCUCACCUGUCACUAAAAUGAGAAUUGGGUCCACAUCAGCAGAAGUCAUCAUGAUCAUGGUACAAAUCCUGAGUCCUUCUGCUCCCUCUGCUUACAUGAACUCUCUUUUGGCCUGUAGUAAUUCAGCAAGCUAAAAUGUCAGAAGCAAUAGCUCAGUGAAUGGUUUUACCAGGAGAACUCCCAACACCAGGCAUGAUCAGUGAAGAAAGAGAGGGCUGAUAUAAAGAGGGAAAAAUCCCCCUAGGAAACAGAAUGAGUGGCUGGCCCUUUGCAGCAUUCAGCUUACUCUAACUGGGUCAUCCUUUGUCCAGCUCUAAAACUAUGCUCCUCUGGUCUUCCUGGGAAAGCAGGGUCUUCCACCCAGAUGCCCAGUGUGGCCCCAGCCAUCCCACACCUGCACAUCUUUCAUUACCCUGAAGAUUAUGGACUCUUUCCUAAAUAUGUCUGCUCUACACAACUUCUGUAGUGUCUGGGGCAGUUACUAAAGGCACGGGAUGAUGUCGCUCACCUCUCUAGCAAGCUCUAAGUAUUCCUAUUUCCAGAAAAACAAAGCUCAAACUUCUCUGCACAGCUUCUGCUCUGAUCCCUAAGUGUUGCAUGUCCACAUCCUAUCUUCCACCCUGUUGUCUCAAAUACUUUGGACCUGCGCCAUGGAAAUGCUUCUUGUUCAGCAAACGCACCAUGAUGGGCCAUGGUUCUGACCUCAGCCCUUUCAGAUUCUCCUUGGUGUGACUUCUUUGACAGAAAAUUCAAGUUCAGUCUGCAAGACAAAACCCACAGGCUGCUUUCUCUAUGUGUGCCUGGCUUAUCUGGCUCUAGCUCCUCUCCAGUAGUUUUGGUCUUCACUACAUCGAUGAAGACUGACUCACAGCAAAGUCUUAGUUCAGUGCCCAACCCAUCUGUCCUGACACAUGUCUAGGUCCUGCUGUGGGCCUUGACCCUGCUCCUGGAUCUUGGCUUCCCUGUGUCUCACCCAAUAUUCUUCUCAGACUUUUUCCCAGGACUGCCUUUCUCUUUCAGACACCAGAUGCUGAUGUUCUUUAAGGCCUGCCAGAGGCCACUGGAAAAUAUAUGAUAACUAUUCCUCCCUCUCUUGGAGUUCCGUGGGCUCCCAAGGCUUUCCUGCUUGAUCAUGUAUUAUUACUAAAGUCAAGGGCUUCUGUUUUAGGAACACUGGCUCCUUUUUUUUAAUCAAAUACACAGUCUUGGGGAUUUGUUUUAUUUUUUACAGUACUAGGGACUGAGCCCAGGGCCUUGUGUAUGUAGGCAAGUGCUUUACCACUGGGCUACAGUUGAGUCCUCUAGUCACAUGCCAUGACUCACAGAGCUGCAUGUUCAGCCUGCUUCUCAAUCUCAAACCUUGACAUUCAUGCAUAUGAUGGUUGUCUUGAGACAUGACGAGCAAUGACAGAAAGCCUUCAAACCAAUAUGCUCAAACUCACUUUGUAGUUUCAUCUUCCUACAAUAAUGCCCAAAUCCUUCUUCCAGGGUCAGAGUCCUUUGAAGGUGGCAUGACCACCAAGUUCCUGGCCAUUUGAGAAAAAGAUUACUGCACCUAUGCCUUCCUCAACAUCAACCCUCUAUCUAUGUAAA